UUCGUCAGUGUCCUGGUUCCGUGGAACACUCCUCGGAGAAGUCGUCGGGGAUGCAAGACUCGGAGAAGCCAUCAGGGACGCGGAUUCCUUUGCUGCUCAAUUGAAGAGAAGAGUUUCCUGAUUCCUGGUUAAGCCGCUAUUGAUAAUUGUGCGCUUUAAGGCUGUAAGGUCACUUCCGCCUCAUAUGAGAUGUAGAUCUUGCAUUUUGGCGCCCUUUUGUGUAUUCUGUGGUUCUUUUGGCGGGUGAUUAGAUUAUUUCCGCAGGGCUUGUGUUCUGUUUUAGUGAUGAGAGUAUUACGGAAAUGAAUCAGUAUUACGAUGUGUAUUUUGUUUUUUUUCACUUAAAAUCAGGAUCAAUCGUUGCGUGCGUGGAGCGGGGCGUGCGUGGAGCCAGGGCCGUGUGAUGGACAGGCCGCACGGAUGGUCGCACGCAGCGGCCGCAGGCAAGCCGCGUCCCGCCAUGUGAACUGGCGUAGUUCCCGAACCACAUGGACAAAAUUAUAUCUUGCGAUCAUAUAAAAAUAUAAAUUAUUAGAUGGAUGAUCCAUCGAAAAAUAUAAUAAAUUUGUCGUCAAGAUAUCAUGAACGUGCUUGUGAAUGUAAACCGUGAAUCGGAUUGACUAUUUUUUACGAUGAGAAUCAGAUCGGCAUUGAUAAACAAGGUUCCAAGUGGCACAACUCUACCACACCAUAUAUUUAAUGGUUCCACAAUUGUCCACUGUUUUUUUAGAUAAUGAAAUUCUGUAGCAAGUUGGUCCAUGAAAGUGAUACUAGCAGUAAUAAACAUUGAUGGUUAUUCCGAUGACCGUACUACUAUAUAGGAACACGACACAUAUCCUAAUUAAUAUAUAUCACUACACAAAGGAAGGAGUAAGUUCUGAACCCCAGCAUUUCAUAAAUUGCUCUGGACAAGAAACCGGUCGAUGUUGUGAUCCUAGUACAUACCAACGUGAAAGUGGUUCUAGCUAAAAUCAAGGUACUAGAACAAAAGGCUCGAAACCUCCACUUUUGUUAGGUCUUACGCACGCGUUUCCACCAUCACUCUUUUCAAGCAUCUUACUCUAAAAAAAUUACUAGUGAGAAGGCCCAGUUUGGAAAAAAGAAGAGUGGCUUGAAAUCCACGGUUCUGUGUACGUACGGUGGUUGUUAUUAGUGAUCACCACGCAAGGGUUUGAACAAGGUAAUAUAAAUAUGAAAUGACGAAGCCAUGCAUGCAUGACCAGUCGACGUCACACAAAAACAAAGCCAUGAUCUCUGAUCAACCAGUCGUUCCCUUGUCCCAGUCGAUCGAUCAUAGUACCAUAUCCUGUGAUGAUCCGCCCUUUGGCCUUUUGUCCUCGCAACGGACGGUCGCCGGGAGAUCGCGCGGCGUCGUCAAGGGUCUUUUUGUUUGUCUCUUGGUUGGUUUUAAAAUGGUCAAGUUGGCUCUUUGCCACAUGGUCCCGGCCCUCGAUUAAAUAUAACUUUUACUCCCUCCGUUCCAAAUUACUUGUCUUGGAUUUGUCUAGAUACGGAUGUAUCUAGACUUAUUUUAGUGCUAGAUACCUCCGUAUCUAGACAAAUCUAAGACAAGUAAUUCGAAACAGAGAGAGUAAAAGAUUCAACGCUGCUUUUGCUGGACACGGGAAAUGGUAGUAUCACUGGCCAGAGAUUGGACUUUGACCUGCUGGUACAUGCAUAUGUUCCGACGGAAAGUAGAACCGACCCAUGUGGAGUGGCGGAGGCAGGCUCCAGGCAGCCCAGGCCGCUGUCGGGCCGUGGACGCUGAUUCCUUCAUUGACUGGGUCCAGGUUGCCUGGGUCGGCCUGGGGUGUAUGGUAUUCCUGGGCCGCCGCUGAUUGUGGUGAUGUUUGAUCGAUCGGUCGGUCGGGGAUAAUCAAAUUUAUGAUAUGACUGGCAUUAUCGUGGAUGGGAUCAACUUCGCAAAUAAUCACUGUAUCUAUAGCUAUGCGCAUGUAGUUAUGUCUGUCCUACGUAUUUGUUUAUUUAUACUCUUAUACUUUACUCUACAUCUUAUUGCGUUUAUCUCUGGCUUAUCCUCGGGCGGGCGGGCCAAAUAACUUUUUGUAUCUUUUUUUUUGCGGCAAUUGUGAGAGCUUUAUUCAAACAAAAACGCUCCUAGGAUCGUCAGCCAACAGGCUACCGAUCAGGAACGAGGGUGCAGAGUCUAACCAAGUCUCGGUCACCAUCAACGUGCUGGCAUGCUUUGCAUAAAGAUGGGCCGGAAGAUUAGCAGAUCUGUUUACAUGCUGAAUUACAAAAGAAUCAAAAGACAAAGCAUGCUCUCCAAUCUCUACUAGUAACGGAGCCACGACCGAACGAGAGCCGUGACGAGUGUUCCAGAGAUUCACUAUCUCCAGACAAUCGGAUUCCAAUAUCACAUGUGCAUAGCCUCGAAGACGAGCAAAGAGAACUCCCUCUCGUAGUGACAAGGCCUCCGCAAUGAGAGGAUCCGUAACAACGGUAUGCGGUUUGGACCAGGACGCAAGCAUCGCCAUAUCAGAACGAGCAACACCACCUGCUCCGGCUAGUCCCGCUUCCGAAUUGAUUGCACCAUCAACAUUGAUUUUGACAAAACCCGCUUCAGGAGGGCGCCAACCAUGUCCUGGCAAUAAGGUGGCCUGCUUCAAAGGAAUCUCUAGCAAGGCCAAAUCCUCUCGAAUGCGGCGAGUGGAGUAUACUGGGUCGACAUGUUCCUUCUCGUGAGUCCAUCGAUUCCGCGAAUGCCAGAUAGCCCACAUCACCGACACAAUCUGUUCUCUUACAUGAUCCGAGAAACGAUCAUCACAUAGGAUGUCGCGCGCCCAAGUGGCAGGGUGCAAGCGCGGGAGCCGAAAGCCAAACCAUGUUGGCGCUUCGUCCCAAAAUCUGCGUGCAUGGGAGCAAGACACCAAUGCAUGCAUAAGAUCUUCCUCUUUGGCCAGGCAAACAUUGCAUAGACUAAGAGGUUUGAUAUGUUUGUGCUUUAAGGUUGCUUCAUCAGGGAGAAUCCCGCGAAGGACUCUCCACCAAAAGACUCUGACCUUAGGCAGCACUUUGAGAUUCCAUAGGGAUGUCCACAUCUAUUGUUCCGAUUUUGAGGCGCCGGUAACCGUCCCUUCCUCGAGAGCAUGACGCUCUUUCUGAUUCACGAGAGCACAGUACGCUGAUUUGACUGUGUAGACACCUGAGUUUUCAAAAGCCCAAGCAAAGAAAUCCUGUCCACCUCCGAUGCGUAAUGGUAUGUUUAAUAUAGCUUCUGCAUCUGGAGCAAGAAAGUUUUGUCGAAGAAGAUCCGUCUUCCAUGUCCAAUUAUCUUCAUCAAUGAGCUCAUUGACUUUAUGUAAUGUAGUAGUAGUGAUAAUUGACAUGGGCGACAUACUAAUGGUGCCUAGAAUCCACUUAUCUUCCCAUAUAGAGAUAGAGCUUCCAUCACCAACUCGCAUGAUCAAACCCGCUUGAAGGGCCUCACGCCCAGCCACAAUCGCGCGCCAAAUUGGGGAGGCUGACUUCGGCACUGUGGCAUGCAGAAAGUCUGAAUCCGGGUAGUAUCGACCCUUCAUAAUCCGGGCGCAUAGGGAAUUAGGACUGACCAUGAACCUCCAUCCAUGCUUCCCAAGAAGUGCAAGGUUGAAUAGCUCCAUAUCGCGAAAACCCAUCCCCCCCUGAAUUUUUGGAGAUGCAAGUGCUUUCCAAGAAAUCCAAUGCAAGGAUUUCCUAUCAGAGAGCUACUCCACCAAUAUUUGGCCAUAUUAGAACUGUAUUUUUUGCAUACCUUCUUCGUGAGUCGAAAGCAUGACAUACUAAAAGUAGGGAUAGCUUGGAUAAUAGACUUAAGCAAGAUCUCUCUCCCUGCACAUGCAAAAUUGCGCUCCGACCACCCCUGCAUACUGCCGCGAGCUCUAUCACCAAUAUGAUCGAAGGUGUCGCUGGUGAUCCUUCCCACAGCUGUGGAUAGACCAAGAUAUCUCUCACUGAAAGCUUCCACCAUAAUUCCAAGUCUCUGUUUGAUAAUAUUCCUGAUUAGGGUGGGAGUGUUCGAAGUGAAGAAGACCGAACUCUUUUCUUUGUUGACACUUUGGCCCGAACAAUCUGCGUAUAUUUGCAGAAUUUGAUUCAACCGAUCUGCACUUUCUUCUGUUGAACUGAUAAAAAUUAAGCUGUCGUCCGCAAACAGAAGAUGAUUUACCCAUGGUGAUCUGUAGGAGACCCGAAUCCCUCUGUCGAUAAAAUUCCCAAAAUGGUUGAGCAGAGAGGUGAGUCCUUCUGCGCAGAGCAAAAACAGAAAAGGGAAUGCCGGGCAUCCCUGUCUCAAACCCCGAGAGGGUGUGAAAAAAGGGAGCAACUCGCCGUAUCUACUGUGUUCGCGUUGGCUGGACAGUACAGUACUGUAGCGUGUAGAGGCCAAAUAACUUGGUGAAAGUACGUAGAUGCAGCGCGGUCGAUGUUCAUGUACUACACACGUACUACUACGCACGGGAUGCAUGCAUGCGCACGGAGCACGCUCGGUCGGCGAUGGAUGGCGUACAGCACAUAAAAACUCACACGCGUCCGUGCACCUGCGAACCUGAGCUACGUACGUACCACUUCGAUCCCAAGGUACGUACUGCAUGCUGUACGCACGGGCGCUCUAACCGACCGACUGGCGUCCCAGUGCGUGUCAAACUGUACAUGGAGCGAGCUAGAUGUCCCGUGUCCUGUGUGUGCCCAGCUAGCCAGAUCUGAAAUACUUAUGUGCUACGCGCUCGAGACCGUCGUGGGGCUCUGCAGCCAGUGGCUCGUCUAGCUGGCCAGCUCUCUCUCCGUCACUCGACUGGGCUGAGAGUGAGUGGAGGCUGGAGUGGUAAGUGGGGGCGUGCUUGCUGCACUCGAGUGGCCGGAGCGGUACAGUGACAGGCGGAAAACGCAGCGGCCGUGACACCACAGAGACGGCUGCGUCCUGAUCCGGAAUGACCAAUGCCUCAUUCUGGCUUCAGUACCUUCACCUCACAUGCCUGCCUGCGGUCACGCGCGAACUCCACUAGCUUAGCUAGCUCCCAUACAUCACAUGCAUGCAUGGACCUCCGUCCCAACAGCGAGCAAGCAACACGGCCGUGAGCGUACGUCGUGGCCUCGUGGCCUUGUGGGUCGGUACAUCCCACACUCACCGGACGCGUCCGCGGACGUAUGAGGGAGGAUUUGAGACGUCUGGCUGUAGAUGCUCUAAGCACCUUACACCGCACAAAACUUUGGGAGUGAGAAUGACAAAACGAAGCCAUUGCAAUUUUUGGACUUCUGUAAUGUGCAACAAGAGGGCAAAAUGCCAAAAUGGGACAUGUUUUUAGCUAUCUUGCAAGAAAAGAUUAUACUAACUACUUUGUUAGAGGGAGAGAAGCAAUGGUCACUGGCUAAUUGCAGAUACGUAAGCGCCUACUAGACAGUUCAACGUUCAAAGCGCAUGGGUGUGCACCACCUUUCUUGAAGCUGGAAGUAACCGUUCACAAACAAAUAUCUGGAACAAGGAACUCUAGUGGUUGGGUGUAAAGCGAAAAAUACCUUCACGUCGUGCGUCUACCAAAGAUGGCAACAUCAGCUUGUUGUCCAUAUAAGGAUAAGGGUGNNNNNNNNNNNNNNNNNNNNNNNNNNNNNNNNNNNNNNNNNNNNNNNNNNNNNNNNNNNNNNNNNNNNNNNNNNNNNNNNNNNNNNNNNNNNNNNNNNNNNNNNNNNNNNNNNNNNNNNNNNNNNNNNNNNNNNNNNNNNNNNNNNNNNNNNNNNNNNNNNNNNNNNNNNNNNNNNNNNNNNNNNNNNNNNNNNNNNNNNNNNNNNNNNNNNNNNNNNNNNNNNNNNNNNNNNNNNNNNNNNNNNNNNNNNNNNNNNNNNNNNNNNNNNNNNNNNNNNNNNNNNNNAAGGGUGGGUGGGUGACAAAAAUUGUUGUUCGUAAAAAAUAAGUAUGGUGCACGUUUUUCGCUGAAUUUGUAUUGUGAGCUUUGAUGUGUAUAUGUUGCAUUGUCGUUUAUCAAUGAUUUUGAUCCAAACGUGAAAUAGGUUGGUGUGUGCUUCAUCUAGUGGUGAAAGUCAUGAUGAUAUGAACGAGGCAUGAUAGAGUUGUUCAUGGAGUCAUGAACGGUUAUAUCUCUGACUGACCGAUGCGGCCAACACCCGUAAGGACAAGGUAGUGUCGGGGUACAUAAGCGAGUAGAGUACCGGUAGUGAUGGCUAGGCAUUCAAGAAGAACAGAAAGAAACCACUUUAUUUUUUGAAGGAGAAAAGGUUAGCCUGGUACAUGAUUCUAACUAAGCAGGGUACGCAGCUACGCACUAGUGGUUGUUGGCCAAAAAGAGAAGAAAAAAAUGUACCGACGGUUGGGGUGCAAAAGUAGGGAAAAAAAGAACUACCAAAACAAGUGGAGAGACCCUCAUGUUGUGUCUACCAAAGAUGGUAAGAACAGCUUUCCGAUUUAGGGAUAAUGGUGACGAAAUACAUAGGUGUCCUCCUGCAAACAUACAUAAUGGAACAAUCUCCACUAGCUAGGAAGUGGCUUUUCAAAUAAAUAAUAGAAAUGGCUAAUAAACUUGUCAUGAAAAAUCAUUAGGGGCCAUAGACGCAUGCCAUAAUCAAAAAGUACGUAGCGUCAACUUCACACCUUUCCACUAUAAUUACACUGUGAGCUUCCAUAUGUGUGUCAUUUUCCCUAUUUGAUUCCGUGGACCCAUCGCGGUAUAUAGGUUGGCCGAUCAUGAUCGACUCAUGAAAAAACCAUGUCAUCUUCGUGUAAAUAGUAACUUUUUGAGCAACAAGGAUUGGGUGGUCAUCGGCGCGUUUAGUGACUACUGAGGCAGAGCGAAGGGAGGAGACCCCACCAUAGUAGUUAGGAUCACUAAGUGGAGCCAGCCAUUUAGACAAAGAGUGUCGUCGGUGUUCUUGCCGGAGUUGGAUGUAAAGAUUUGGGGCAUUUGAUGGAUCUCUGGGUACAGGCCGAUGCUUUAGUCCGACGACGAAACAGGGUGACGAUGAUACGGCCAUGGUGCUAUCAUAGGAGCUGAGUUUGAUUGAGAGAUAACGGUGCCAAUGCAAGGAGGAAGCUAUACUUGUUAACCGCGAAAUAGUUACUUGUCUAUCUACUUGGCCUCCAUGGCUCAUGUUAGAACAUACUUCCUCCGUAAUUUAAUACGAGACAUUUUUUCACAAUCGUCUUAUAUUAAGUUUUUUUUUUCGAAAAGGGGGAGAAACCCCGGCCUAACAUAUUAAGUUAGAGGAGUAAUAAAUAAACAUGUCCUAAUUCAAUUCAUUCCAUUAGGAAAAACAAUUAUCAAUUCAUUGUGAUAGUCUAUCGUGAGUACACCUACUAGCUGUGCGGACCAAAUGAAAGCCUACCCAAAGCGAUAAUUCAUCCUGGAGCCCGGGCUCAUCUGCUCCCGCUCAGAAAAAAAUUCAAAAAAAAAUACUAGAAUAAUUCAAAAAAUUCCAAUUUUUUUGUGGUAGAUAAUUUGACGCGUGAGGUGCGCCUCAAAAUUCAACUUAUUUGGAUAUCUGAGUAGCUCUCGGCAACAAAGACAAAUCAGGUCAAAACAGUGCGUGAACAGUAUACAUUUUUACAGAUCCUGAUUUUGUCUUUUUUGCUGAGAGCUGCUCAGGUGCUCAAAUGAGUUGAAUUUUGAGGCACACCUCACGCGUCAAAUUAUCUACCACCACAAAAAAAACUCGGAAUUUUUAGAAUUUUUCUAGUAUUUUUUUUUUGAACUUUUUGCUGAGCGUGGAUGCAGAUGAGCCCGGGAGCCAAAACUCCGCGUCCUACCCAAAGCCGCUACUCUCACACAAAAGGCAAAGUGCAAUAACGGGAAAGCAGCAAUAGACCAUGCUGUAGCUGCUUCCGAUAAAACGGAAAGGCCAUGCCGUAACAAAAACAGAUCGCCGUGGUCGUCGCUCCAGCAGAGCAUGGUAGAGAUCUGUUGUAGCAGACACUAGCUAGCUCCUGUUCACGCAGAUACCCUAGCUGGCUGAGGCAUAGCUCGUGUGCAUGCCGGCGAGCUCGGACGUAGAUAUACACUGGCCGCUAGCAUAGUUGUGUCACCUGUGUGGCUGAGAGAACGAAUGGCCGCUAGCAUAUAUAGCCUGAGAAAGUAACCCCGGGUAAGAGCAUGUACAGCCGACACACUUGGACUCCGGUAGAAACACACUUGGCGAGGGACUCCCGACCCCGUGCGGCCGCCUCCGGGCCGCACCGGGCGGCCACCUCUCGACCUCACCUCGACUCCCAUGCAUCCCCCUCCCUCCGCCGCCGCCGGCAACGCCGCUGAGCGAAGGCCAUGUGGCGCGGCGGCGGCGGACAUCCUCUGGCGUCCCGAGUUCUGAGGCGGCGGCGGCCUGAUUUGGAUCUCACUCCCGACGAGGAUGGCGAGCAACGGUGGCCGGGGCGCGGCGGGGGCUUGGCUGCAGCCGGCGAGAGUAGUGCGAGAUGGCGGCAGCGGCGGCCGGGGCGCGUCCCGGGCUCGAUCUAGGACCUUCGGGUCUAGGCGGGCGGCUGCCGUUACGUCCUCAAACUGCUGCAUCUCAUCGGAUUCGGCGACGGCUCGUUGAAGCACUCGGGUCUGCAUCGCAUCACGAGGAUUAUGGCGGUGGUGGUCAUCUCCUACGUCGGAGGUGGUCGACCUGAGGCUAGAUGAUCGGAUCUCGAGAUCUGUAAUCUAGUCCCGGUUGCGAGUCGGGAGACAUAGUUGUCCGUGAAAACCGAGCCGACGGCGGACGAUGGCGGCGUUCUGCGCCGUUACCUUGAUGAAGGCAUCAUUCUGUAACUACUGUCGACCCACUCGUGCUGCUCCGCGGGAAACCCUAUGAUCUGAUUUUCCAGAUCGGACGAUGGCGGCACUGAGGUGUCGUUUCUCUCUUGGGAGCAUCGUUUGUGGAGCAGCGCUGGAAGUCAGAGGUAGGAGGUGGAGCGGCUUCGUCUUGCACGGAGUUUCGAUGGAGAUGUCAAGUCAUGCCUGGCCGAUAGGUGCUACGCUUUGUUAUGCCUAGUCGGCAGGUGCUACGCACAACAGAUCUUCCAGACUUCAAGUUGUGUCAGCUAGUGGUAUUUGGCGGCAUGGUGCUGAGGUGUACCGGCGGCGACCACUAUGUGCUAAGAAGUUCGCGCGCAGGAAGGUGGUGACGUUGGGCACCGUGGUGGUGUCAACGGCAGUUAGACCGAGCAAGGAUGAUGCGUCAAUAUAGCUCUGAAGAUGGAGUGGUGGCAGUUGGCGGCGGCGGCCUCUGAGAGCGCGCCGGACCGGUGUGUGCCCCAUACCUGGCAAGUGGCUUGGUUGGGGCCUCAUGCCUUAGAUGUUAGGCUUGACUGCGAGGUCUGUGGUAUUAGGCCCAGACUAUCAGCAUCCCUUCAUUAAAUGAAUAGGAGUAGCGACAGAUGUUGCCUAGUCGGCGGCUUCAGACUUACUAUUGUACUCCAUCCGUUCCUUUAUGUAAGGUGUAUUAUUUUUGGCACGGUGACCAAGGCACAGAAUUAUAGACAUGUUAGGACGAAAUUACCCUUGAAAAAUUUAUUGGAUAGUGGCAAGUAAAUCAGUUAAUCGAGGAAAGUAUAAGAUACAUGCAAUCGACACAGAGAUACUUUCCUUCUUUUGCUACAAGAAGAUAUACAGACAAUCAGGAGAGAGAUACUUUCCCUUUUUCUUAAGGGCUAACAAGGGAAUUAUGAGGAAUUUGAAGAAAUGCACCUUACAUUCUGGAAUUUUAUCAAAAAACAAAUGCACCUUAUAUAAAGGAAUGGAGGGAGUAUUUCUUUGUAAGGUCUUUUAGGAAUAAUUAAUAAAGCGACUGCAUGCAUCGCCCAGAUGCUGAGGCCGGGGUGCUGGAAUUUUGUCUAUUUGGGCCUAGCCCAAUAGUAAUUUCAGAAAUUCCUAAUAAAUCCUAGAGACCCACGCAGCCCAUUCGUGCAAGGCAAGAGGUGGAACUAAAGUUUAGUCCCAUCUUGCUAGUUUAGAGGGAGUUGGACCUCUUUAUAAGGGAGGCUCCUUCCCCACUUGUAUGAGCAUGAGAACAAGAGGGACAUCUACGCGCGCUCCUCCUCCGCCGCCCGCCACGCCACGCCUCGUCGCGCCGCGGGUUGCGGGAAUGAGCCGAGCCGAUGUAAAUUUUUGCCAGGCACUACGGGUAUACGAAAGGGCACGCGAAAGCUGAAAUGUUUUGCUAUAGUGGAGAUUGAGUACGAACGGCGCACCUCUUCGCCUGCUGCCUGUUCGUUUCGUCUCGCUCGUUCUCUUCAGCUCCCAGCGCAGCCUCUCGCCUUCUUCUCUUGCGCCUAUAAAAGGGAGGUCGCUCCUCCCUGGGAGAUGCACCAGAAUCUCUUCCUCCUCUCGCCACAAGUUCCUGAGCACUGCGCUGCUGCUACGUUCUUCCUCAUCCCGGCUUGCGGCGUGCACAACAGGUCGGGACAGUAGGCCUCCAAGACCGCACCUUUUGAGUCCUGUACGGGAGAAGGGUGAUAAGGUUUCGGGGGAGUGCUCAGCGCGACUACUGGCUGCUUCAUCACGGACGAUCCAGUCGCCGACGACUACUUCCCCGACGACGACUACUUCCCUGACGUCGACUACCUCCUCGACGACAUGGGGGACACCGACCCCAAGUCCAGUGCCUCUGCUCCUGCUACUGUCAUGUACGUGUUUCUACCCUUUCUAUUGGAGGUUCUGCUACAGUUCCUUGUUCUAGUUUUGCCCUAGAUAUGUUAGACUCUAUUUCAUAUAUGCAACCUGCUAUACUGUCUGCUUUAGAUAUGUUUAGUUAUGGUUCAUAUAUGAACAUGUUGUUUACCUUCUCUUUGUCAAAUUGCAUGGCUUGUUUUAUCACUUCUACACUAGUCAUGCUUUAUCUAGUAUUUCUGUUAAUAAAAUCACUCGGUAAAUUGCUCAUAUUUCCAACAAUCCAAAAACCUUAUUAUAGGCAAUUUACCCCAAGUGGUUUUGCUGCUUCCAUGAGACCUCCUAUGUUUGAGGGUAUCCACUACAAGAGGUGGCGCGUAAGAGCAGUCUUAUGGUUUCAAACAAUGAGUUGCUAUGACACCACUCUUGGCAAACCUGAAGGAGAGCAAGAUGCCCAACAGGCACAAGCUUUUCAGAAAAUGGAUACCUUGUUUAAGGCGGCGCUCUUGAGUGUUCUUGGAGAGAACAUAGUUGAUUAUUAUGCGUCAAUUGAUAAUGGAAAAGAUAUGUGAGACGCACUCGAGGCCAAGUUUGGGGUCUCGGAUGCCGGCACUGAGCUGUACAUCAUGGAGCAAUUCUAUGAUUACAGGAUGACUGAAGAGCGCUCCGUGGUUGAGCAGGCUCAUGAGAUACAGUCAUUUACUAGAGAACUUGAUCACUUAAAUUGCAUGCUACCGGACAAAUUUGUUGCCGGGGGUAUCAUCACUAAGCUUCCUCCUUCAUGGAGGAACUUUGCUACCUUACUGAAACAUAAGAGACAGGAGUUUUCCGUUUCGGAUCUCAUUGGUACUCUUGAUGUGGAAGAAAAGGCGAGAGCAAAGGACACACGUGCUCGAGGUAUUGAGGGAGGAUCUAGUGCCAAUGUGGUACAGAAGCAGAACUUCCAGCCCCACAAGUUCAAGAACAAGGACAAGUUUGAUGGUAAAGCAAAGUUUGAUGGGAAGAACAAGGCUGUGCAACACACGAAGUUCAAGAAGAAGAAUGGCAAGAAGAAAGGUGCUUGUCAUGUGUGUGGAGAUCCUGAUCAUUGGGCUCCUAGUUGCCCUAAUCGCUAUGACAAGCGUCAUCUUGGGAAAGGCGGCAAGACCGCUAAUGUUGUCAUUGGAGACACUGACAUGAAGGAUGCUGGGUAUGGUAUAUUUCCCACUAUUCUUUCAGUAUGUCAUUCUCCUGACGGGUUGAUUGACACGGGUGCUAAUGUGCAUGUAUGCGGUGAUAUUUCCAUGUUUUCGUCUUAUCAGAGCGCAGGGACUUCAACCGUGCUGAUGGGCAACGGUUCAAGUGCUUCUGUUCGUGGUGUUGGCAUGGUCGAUCUGAAGUUUACUUCGGGGAAGAUCGUGCGGCUGGAGAACGUGCAUUAUGUCCCCUCCGUCAAUAAAAAUCUUGUUAGCGGAUCUCUUCUGUGUAGAGAUGACUAUAAGCUUGUCUUUGUGUCGAAUAAAUUUGUAAUAUUCAAGUAUGGAACCUUUGUUGGUAAAGGCUAUGAGUUAGGAGGCCUGUUUCGUUUAUCCUUAUUAGAAGUUUGCAAUAAAGUUGUUAAUCAUAUUUGCAACAAUAGUGAAUCAAAUGUGUGGCAUUCACGUCUUUGUCAUGUUAACUUUGGUUGCAUGCCGCGACUAGCGAAGUUGAACUUAAUCCCUAGUUUCACCACUGUCAAGGGAUCUAAGUGUCAAGUGUGUGUGCAAGCUAAGCAACCUCGUAAGUCUCACGUGACUGCGGAGACGAGAAAUCUUGCACCACUAGAACUUAUACAUUCAGAUCUAUGUGAAAUGAAUGGUGUUUUGACAAAAGGUGGAAAGAAAUAUUUCAUGACAUUAAUUGACGACUCAACUAGAUACUGCCGUGUGUAUCUUCUGAAAUCUAAGGAUGAGGCUUUGAACUUUUUCAAGAUCUAUAAAGCUGAAGUGGAAAACCAACUUGAUCGAAAAAUCAAGAGGCUUAGGUCCGACCGUGGUGGAGAGUAUUUUUCCAAUGAAUUUGAUGCUUUUUGUGCGGAACAUGGUAUAAUCCAUGAGAGGACGCCUCCCUACUCACCUCAGUCAAAUGGGGUGGCCGAAAGAAAGAACCGUACUCUAACUGAUUUGGUUAACGCCAUGUUAGACACAUCGGGUCUCUCCAAGGCAUGGUGGGGGGAGGCGAUAUUGACUGCUUGUCAUGUCGUAAACCGAGUUCCCACAAAGAACAAAGAGAUAACUCCAUUCGAGGAAUGGGAGAAGAAAAGGUUAAAGCUUUCUUAUCUACGAACCUGGGGUUGUUUGGUGAAAGUCAAUGUGCCAAUUCCAAAGAAGCGGAAGCUGGGACCAAAAACUGUGGAUUGUGUUUUCCUGGGAUAUGCUUUUCAUAGCAUUGGCUAUAGAUUCUUGGUUGUAAAAUCUAAGGUACCUGACAUGCAUGUCGGUACGAUCAUGGAGUCGAACGAUGCGACUUUCUUUGAAGAUAUCUUUCCCAUGAAGGAUAUGGCUACCUCAUCUAAUCAGGAGAUGCCUAGUUCAUCGAAUCAAGAACCAGUUACAAUUACUGAACCUGCCAUUUCGAUGGAACACUUUGAAAGUCCUGCGGAGGAGAACAAUGAAGUUCCUACUAGGAGCAAGAGACAGAGGACUGUCAAGUCUUUUGGUGAUGAUUUUCUUGUGUAUCUCAUAGAUGACACUCCCAGUUCUAUUUCAGAGGCCUAUGCAUCUGAAGAUGCUGACUACUGGAAGGAAGCGGUUCGUAGCGAGAUGGAUUCCAUCCUGGCGAAUGAAACUUGGGAGAUAACUGAUCGUCCUUAUGGGUGCAAACCUAUAGGAUGCAAAUGGGUAUUCAAGAAGAAGCUUAGGCCUGAUGGUACUAUUGAAAAGUACAAGGCUCGGCUCGUGGCAAAGGGUUAUACCCAAAAGGAAGGUGAAGACUUCUUUGAUACUUACUCACCUGUGGCUCGACUAACAACUAUUCGAGUUCUACUUUCACUAGCUGCCUCACAUGGUCUUCUUGUUCAUCAAAUGGAUGUUAAGACUGCUUUCCUAAAUGGAGAGUUGGAUGAGGAAAUUUAUAUGGAACAGCCAGAUGGGUUUGUAAUAGAUGGUCAGGAAGGGAAAGUGUGCAAGUUGCUGAAGUCUUUGUAUGGACUCAAGCAAGCACCCAAACAGUGGCAUCAGAACUUCGAAAGAACUUUAACAGCUGCAGGCUUUGUUGUGAACGAAGCUGACAAAUGUGUGUACUAUCGCCAUGGUGGGGGCGAGGGAGUUAUGCUUUGCUUGUAUGUUGAUGACAUACUGAUUUUCGGAACAAAUCUGAAUGUUAUUAACACUACUAGGGAAGAGCCUAUACACAGAAUCUUACCAGCAGCGCUGCACAAAAUACCACGCUGCUACUACUUAGCAGCAGCGCGUGUUAGAGAAACGCGCUGCUGACAGGAAAAUAGCAGUAGCGCGUGCACCACAAACCGCGCUACUGCUAUAAUUGCCAUGACCUCACCCCCCCGCUAGUUAUAGCAGUAGUGCACUAUACUGAACCGCGCUACUGCUAUAGAAGUUAGCAGCAGCGCGCUUAUAGGAAAACCGCUACUGCUAAGAUCAGCCCACAAGUUUAGUCCCACCUCGCUUCGUGAACAGGGUGUUUACCACCUUAAAUAUGUUAUUUCUGAAACUACCACAACCAGUUGGUCUUCACUGAACUCUAUGUGUAAAAUUUGUGGCCGCAAUAUGAGUCCUCUUCGGUUCCUACCAGAUAGGACUCAUAUUGAAAAUUCAGAUUGUACACAAAAAGAUCAUUGAUGGCCAAUGUAUUUUUGCAUUGACGUAUUUUUUGUAUAGUUACACUUAGCAGUAGCGGUUUAUGUGCAAAGCGCUACUGCUAUUCAGAUUAGCUGUAGCGCGUUUUGGCAAACGCACUACAACUAUCCCUACCUUAUCCCCACGAGCACGACCGGCCCUCACUCACACUCUCACUCUCGCCCCCCGUGCCGAUAACCGUCGUCGUGCAUCGUCGCCGCCGCCGCCGCCUUCGUCCGUCCGCCGCCGAGGUACUCCCCUCCUUCCGUCCCUCCUCCCUCCUCCUCGCACAUCCUCCCUCCGCCUGCGGCCGCCCCUCCCUCUUCCGCGGCCGCCCUCCUCCCUCCGCCUGCGCCCGCCCCUCCUCCCUCCUCCGCCGGCAGCCCUCCUCCCACCGCCCUCGACCUCGCCACCCCUAGAUACCUCUCCGUCGCCCCCACCCCCUGCCACUAGUUAGUACUAGAUUUAGUAGUUGUAGAUGUUAAUUUAGGGUUCAUAGCUAGUACUAGAUGUUGCUUAGUUAGUACUAGAUUUUUAGUAGUAGUAGAUGUUAAUUACUAGUAGUGAUGGUACUAGUNNNNNNNNNNNNNNNNNNNNNNNNNNNNNNNNNNNNNNNNNNNNNNNNNNNNNNNNNNNNNNNNNNNNNNNNNNNNNNNNNNNNNNNNNNNNNNNNNNNNNNNNNNNNNNNNNNNNNNNNNNNNNNNNNNNNNNNNNNNNNNNNNNNNNNNNNNNNNNNNNNNNNNNNNNNNNNNNNNNNNNNNNNNNNNNNNNNNNNNNNNNNNNNNNNNNNNNNNNNNNNNNNNNNNNNNNNNNNNNNNNNNNNNNNNNNNNNNNNNNNNNNNNNNNNNNNNNNNNNNNNNNNNNNNNNNNNNNNNNNNNNNNNNNNNNNNNNNNNNNNNNNNNNNNNNNNNNNNNNNNNNNNNNNNNNNNNNNNNNNNNNNNNNNNNNNNNNNNNNNNNNGCCGCCCCUAGCUACCUCUCCGUCGCCCCCACCCCCUGCCACUAGUUAGUACUAGAUUUAGUAGUUGUAGAUGUUAAUUUAGGGUUCAUAGCUAGUACUAGAUGUUGCUUAGUUAGUACUAGAUUUUUAGUAGUAGUAGAUGUUAAUUACUAGUAGUGAUGGUACUAGUUAACUAGAUGUUGCUUAGUUAGUACUAGAUUUUUACUUGUAGUAGAACUAGUUUACCAAGUAAAUUAAUAUAACUAGUUGAACUACUUUAUUUUUAGAAAGAACUAGUUUUUUUCUAUUUAUAGUAAGUUUAUAUUUAGUAAGAACUAGUUGAAUUAAUAAAACUAGUUGAACAUGUCAUAUUUGUUAUUAUUUUUUAGUUUAAGCAAUUAUUCGGGAUGUAUUAGUGAUAACUUAUAUGGUUUCUCAGGUGACCACCGUCGUCCCCGUCACCGACCCCCUCCGACAUCCCCGCCGUCGUCCCCGUCACCGACCCCCUCCGACAUCCCCGUCGUCGUCCCAGUCACCGACCCCCUCCGACAUCGAGGUGAGACCAGCCAAAUAUCCUUGUAUAUCUUCAGUUGUUGCUCAAAUAGGAUAUGUGGUUGCCCAAGUGGCCGUUCAUGUUUAGUUUACAUCUCCGAGUGGCCUAUGUUUUGCCGGAGUGUUGAUUAAUUUCCGUUCCGGCAAAUUUCAGGCGCUCGAUAUGUCCUUUUUAGCAAAGGUCAUGCCGGAUUUUUUCGUGAAUUCUGGCAUGACUUGUGCUAGAACAUGUACAAGUUUAAUCUUUGAAUUAUGAACGUAGGAAAUGUCGUACUCGGACGACGACAGUCUCCCGGGGGAGUGUAGCUGGUGCCACGACGAUCGAGGAAUGUGCAACAGGUUCGUUCAGCUGGACGAAGAUCGGCGCUUCAGCAUUAAGCUCGAGGAGACCUUCGAUUGUGAAACGGUAUGCAACAACGACAAAUGUUUUUUUCGUAAUUAAGCAUGAUUUCAACUAUUUCAACGUCUAAUUUUCAUAUUUUACAAUUCGACUAGCUUAUCCCAUGCCAUGCAAGACGCUAUGUCUUGGAGAGGAUGGGUUUUGAAGACCAUGAAAAUUUCGAAACAAAGAAAAUACACCUAAGGACCCAUCAUGAUAUGGAUUUUGAAGUAAAUAUGUGCAAUGCUCAGAGCGUAACCCAUUUUGGUUACCAAAAUUGGGAAGCACUUUGCAAAAUGUAUGGUUUUGAUGAGGGUAUGAUUGUCACCAUGGAUCUUGGUGAUCUUGACAUCGAGCAAGACAAUAUGGACAUUUGGGUCCUUGUUGAUACGCUUCCGAUUGUACCGCUAUGUGAGUUUCCCAAACAUAGUUAUUAACUAAUUUAUAUUGUUUAUUUCAAAAUUGUUGAUAGCUUAUUUCCAUUGACAGCUUAUUUUGAUUCUUCAAAGAUUGUGCGGAAGAUGGUAGAUAAAACCCACUACACCGAUGGCACCGAAUUAACGUAUAAGGAGAAAAAUCAUCUGAUCGCAUUUUGUACUCUUCUUGAGAAUUAUAAUAACUAUUAUCGAACUCCUCCAAAUUAUGGUGAAUACGUGCCACUAGUGCAUGUGUUGAACCACGGUAACUUCUCUAGAGAUACCCUGGUAAGAUUUUUUACUAUUACGACAUCCGUGCAUCUUUUGCAUACUUCUAAAACUAGUACAUCAUUGCUAACUACGAAGUUAUUAUUAUGUUUUUCAACAGAAACUCCCGAUGGAUUGUGUGCCUCAUCUGAUGUCUCUAAAUGGUCGCCUCUCAGUUCUGAACAUAAUGCCAGGUAAAUCUAGGGAGCUCACCUGUGCAUAUCGGAUUUCUAAAACCAGUGAACACAUGAUCACCAAAUAAUGGAAGAAAUGUAUGGACAUUCGCAAGGAGGUUCUUGGAAGUAACAUUCAGCGAAAGGCAAGAAUUGGAGACAGGCUAAUCUCCAUUCUCCAUAAUGGAGAGUCAGGGGCUAUCUUGUUUUUUGCUAUUUUACCUUAGAAAAUGUAGUAGGUCUCGAAUGUAGUAGGUCCUAUGAGGUACAAUAUGUUUAUUAUGUGGUAAUGUGUUAGAGUUGAUAAUGAGGAGUACUUGUGAUUACGACUAGUGACCAAUUUGCUAUGUGAUGUCAUUGAUGAAAACGAUGAUCUUGAGGAGGUGUUAUAUGACAAUGAUGUAUUAUGAUGAUAAGUUGUUAAUGAUAUGAUGAUGAUGAUGAUAUUAUUAUAUCAUUGGAUGAAAGAAUCGCGGAUUAGUUUCAAGUGGAUGGGCAUCCACUUGAAACUAGUCCACGGUUCUUUCACCCCGUGAUGUAAUAACUCAUUAUGAUGUAAAAACAAUCUCUAAAUUCCUGUUGUAUGAAAACUUGUGUAAAGGUGUAUGAAUACAACAUGAAAUAAAAAAGAAAUAAAAUACUAAAUAGUAGUAGUAGCGCGGGAAAGUAGAGGCGCUACUACUAAUUACCAGUAGUGCGGUCCUGAAGAAGCGCUACUACUAAGUCAAUUUAGCAGUAGCGUGGAUCCAGGCGCGCUAUUGCUAAGCAUUAGCUGUAGCGCCUUAUCAGUAGCGCUCCUGCUCGCGCUACUGAUAGGCCUAAAACCCGCACUGCUGCUAGGAUUUUCCCUAGUAGUGUAAGGAGGUCAAUGAUUUCCUAUCUCGCUGUUUUGAGAUGAAGGAUUUAGGAGUGGAUGAUGUCAUUCUGAACAUCAAGUUGUUGAGAGAUGAUGAUGGUGGGAUUACAUUGCUUCAAUCUCACUAUGUGGAAAAGAUCUUGAGUCGCUUUGGCUAUAGUGACUGCAAGCCCUCUCCAACACCAUAUGAUGCUAGCGUGUUGCUUCGAAAGAAUCAAAGAAUUGCUAGAGAUCAAUUGAAGUAUUCUCAGAUUAUUGGCUCGCUUAUGUACUUAGCAAGUGCUACAAGACCUGACAUCUCUUUUGCCGUUAGCAAACUGAGUCGGUUUGUUUCAAACCAAGAGAUGUGCAUUGGAAAGCUCUAGAGAGAGUUUUGCGUUAUUUGAAAGGCACUGUGAAUUAUGGAAUUCACUACACUGGGCAUCCAAAGGUGCUUGAAGGGUAUAGUGACUCAAACUGGAUCUCAGAUGCUGAUGAGAUAAAGGCCACGAGCGGUUAUGUAUUCACUCAUGGAGGUGGCGCUGUUUCUUGUAAGUCUUGCAAGCAGACCAUCUUAACGAGGUCAACAAUGGAAGCAGAACUCACAACACUAGAUAUAGCUACGGUCGAAGCAGAUUGGCUUCGCUGGCUCUUGAAUGACUUGCCGGUAGUUGAGAUACCUGUACCAGGUAUCCUUAUGAACUGUGACAAGCAAAUUGUGAUCACUAAAGUGAGCAGCUCAAAGGAUAACAUGAAGUCAUCAAGACACGUUCAGAGAAGGUUAAAGUCUGUCAGAAAAAUGAAAAACUCGGAGUUAUUGCAUUGGAUUAUAUCCAAACGUCUAAAAAUCUGGCAGAUCCUUUUACUAAGGGUCUAUCACGUAAUGUGAUAGAUAAUGCAUCGAGGGAGAUGGGUAUGAGGCCCACAAUAUGAGUUGUUCACAGUGGUAACCUAUUCUUUGUGAUCGGAGAUCCUGUGAAUUAGAUGUGGAAGACAAGCUGUUGGUCAACUGUGAGGAGAGUAUCCCUACUGUUAAAAUACCACUCCAUGAAGAUGCAAUACUCUCCUAAUCUGCAUGGCAGGGUUAUGUAUAUCUUAAUGUGUUCUAAGUGGCUCUUUGAAGCAGAGAUGUUGUCCUGCAGAACAUCUUUUGAAGAACGCACCUAUAUGAGUCUGAAUGUUAAACGUCGCAAUCUAUGAGAGUAGGGUUCUCUCUAGUAAACUCAUGAAAGGUCACGGAGUAUGACGCAUAAGCUCCACCAGCGGGGAAGACCCACGAUAGCCACGUAUCGGUCAAGGCUUUAUGUGAAGCUAGAUUCGCAGAAAACUUGCAGUUCAAGGCCCAGUCCACUGUUCAAGUUGCUUACUAGUGUAGCAUAGAGUUCUAGGUGGAAGUUCAAUUUAACAGUCUCCACUGCAGUUCCGGUAUAUAAAACAGUGUUUUGGAACCAAAGGCAAAUUUUGUGUGCCUUUGGGAUCUGGUGGGGGAUUGUUGGAAUUUUGUCUAUUUGGGCCUAGCCCAAUAGUAGUUUCAGAAAUUCCUAAUAAAUCCUAGAGGCCCACGCAGCCCAUUCGUGCAAGGCAAGAGGUGCAACUAAAGUUUAGUCCCACCUUGCUAGUUUAGAGGGAGUUGGACCUCUUUAUAAGGGAGGCUCCUUCCCCACUUGUAUGAGCAUGAGAACAAGAGGGACAUUCACGCGCGCUCCUCCUCCGCCGCCCGCCUCGUCACGACACGCCGCGGGUUGCGGGUUGCGGGAAUGAGCCGAGCCAAUGUAAAUUUUUGCCACGCACUACGGGUAUACGAAAGGGCACGCGAAAGCUGAAACGUUUUGCUGUAGUGGAGAUUGAAUACGAACGGCGCACAUCUUCGCCUGCUGCCUGUUCAUUUUGUCUCCCUCGUUCUCUUCAGCUCCUAGUGCAGCCUCUCGCCUUCUUCUCUUGCGCCUAUAAAAGGGAGGUCGCUCCUCCCAGGGAGACGCACCAGAAUCUCUUCCUCCUCUUGCUACAAGUUCCUGAACACUGCGCUGCUGCUAUGUUCUUCCUCAUCCCGGCUCACUACUAGGGAAAAGCCUAGCAGCAGCACGGGUUUUAGGCCUAUCAGUAGCACGAGCAGGAGCGCUACUGAUAAGGCGCUACAGCUAAUGCUUAGCAGUAGCACGCCUGGAUCCACGCUACUGCUAAAUUGACUUAGUAGUAGCGCUUCUUCAGGACCGCGCUACUGGUAAUUAAUAGUAGCGCUUCUACUUUCCCGCGCUACUACUACUAUUUAGUAUUUUAUUUCUUUUUUAUUUCAUGUUGUAUUCAUACACCUUCACACAAGUUUUCAUACAACAGGAAUUUAGAGAUUGUUUUUACAUCAUAAUGAGUUAUUACAUCACGGGGUGAAAGAACCGUGGACUAGUUUCAAGUGGAUGUCCAUCGACUUGAAACUAAUCCGCGGUUCUUUCACCCAAUGAUAUAAUAAUAUCAUCAUCAUCAUCAUAUCAUUAUCAACUUAUCAUCAUAAUACAUCAUUGUCAUAUAACACCUCCUCAAGAUCAUCGUUUUCAUCAAUGACAUCACAUAGCAAAUUGGUCACUAGUCGUAAUCACAAGUACUCCUCAUUAUCAACUCUAACACAUUACCACAUAAUAAACAUAUUGUACCUCAUAGGACCUACUACAUUCGAUUAAUACCUACUACAUAUUCUAAGGUGAAAUAGUAAAAAAAACAAGAUAGCCCCUGACUCUCCAUUAUGGAGAAUGGAGAUUAGCCUGUCUCCAAUUCUUGCCUUUCGCUGAAUGUUACUUCCAAGAACCUCCUUGCGAAUGUCCAUACAUUUCUUCCAUUCUUUGAUGAUCAUGUGUUCACUGGUUUUAGAAAUCCGAUAUGCACAGGUGAGCUCCCUAGAUUUACCUGGCAUUAUGUUCAGAACUGAGAGGCGACCAUUCAGAGACAUCAGAUGAGGCACACAAUCCAUCGGGAGUUUCUAUUGAAAAACAUAAUAAUAACUUCGUAGUUAGCAAUGAUGUACUAGUUUUACAAGUAUGCAAAAGAUGCACGCAUGUCGUAAUAGUAAAAUAUCUUACCAGGGUAUCUCCAGAGAAGUUACCGUGGUUCAACACAUGCACUAGUGGCACUUAUUCACCAUAAUUUGGAGGAGUUCGAUAAUAGUUAUUGUAAUUCUCAAGAAGAGUACAAAAUGCGAUCAGAUGAUUUUUCUCCUUAUACGUUAAUUAGGUGCCAUCAGUGUAGUGGGUUUUAUCUACCAUCUUCCGCACAGUCUUUGAAGAAUCAAAAUAAGCUGUCAAUGGAAAUAAGCUAUCAACAAUUUUGAAAUAAACAAUAUAAAUUAGUUAAUAACUAUGUUUGAGAAACUCACAUAGCGGUACAAUCGGAAGCGUAUCAACAAGGACCCAAAUGUCCAUAUUGUCUUGCUCGAUGUCAGGAUCACCAAGAUCCAUGGUGACAAUCAUACCCUCAUAAAAACCAUACAUUUUGCAAAGUGCUUCCCAAUUUUGGAAACCAAAAUGGGUUACGCUCUGAGCAUUGCAUAGAUUUACUUCAAAAUCCAUAUCAUGAUGGGUCCUUAGGUGUAUUUUCUUU
rnacentral:lncRNA from 1 species